AAAGACUAUUAGAAUUCAUGCUAUGCAUCUAUUGAUUUGGAUGUUCUGACAGCUUAGAAGCUAAAUAUGUAAUACAUGCGUAGUUCUUACUGAGAGUUGCUUUGGUGGUCAUACCUGUCUGUCUAGCAAAAGGAGAUUUUAAGUUUUGAGUCUUGGACGGUGCAUCCAAAAAUUUGGAUCUAGGUCAAUAAAAUGAGUGAUUCCCCCUCCCCCCUCUC
rnacentral:lncRNA from 1 species